GGUGGGCACGUCUAAGGAGACUGCCGGUGACAACCGGAGGAAGUGGGGAUGACGUCAAGUCAUCAUGGCCCUUACGGCCUGGGCUACACACGUGCUACAAUGGUCGGUACAAAGGGUUGCCAAGCCGCGAGGUGGAGCUAAUCCCAUAAACCGAUCGUAGUCCGGAUCGCAGUCUGCAACUCGACUGCGUGAAGUCGGAAUCGCUAGUAAUCGCGCAUCAGCCAUGGCGCGGUGAAUACGUUCCCGGGCCUU
rnacentral:rRNA from 1 species